GUGUAUAUAUACGUACACACAUAUAUGUGUAUAUAUAUACGUAUAUACACACAUAUAUGUGUGUAUAUAUACGUAUAUA
rnacentral:pre_miRNA from 8 species